ensembl:lncRNA
AUCGGUGCUUACAGGUCUCUGCUUCUUUUCUCCAGGUUUCGAUAAUCUUCCUAUUGAUGUCCCUUAUGAUCACCCACCCAACUGACUGAGUUCACAGUCAGUGGUUAAAGAGAGCCCACUUCUGAAUUAACUGUAGAAAAGAAGUAAGGCCGCAGUAGUGCCAACACAGGGUAUUGUGCAUAGACCAGCAUGACAGCUCCAGUGCUGGUCGAGUCGUGCCUUUGAGGCUCUUCUGUUAGACAUUAGCAUUGAGGGCAAUAGAAGUGGACUCUAAUAGCAAUGUAUUUUUCUGCUGGCUGAGCAACUGCAGGUAGGAAGGAACACAUUCGUCAUCAUUCUCAGUCAAGAAACAAGACAGUUGGUCUCAGGUGAAAACUGCUGUACCACUCGGCACAGCACAGGCAAAUUAUGCACUGCUUUCCAGGUAAGGCCAUGAAAAAUGAGACACAAAUCCGGAAGACACUCCUGCAAAAGCAGCUCUGCUUUAAAAUCUGAAUGUAGAGACGGGGAUUUUUGUAAGCAGUUUGUUUCUAUCCCUGUGAGAUUUUUCCUGUUUAACUGCAGCUUCUUUAUUGUUACUGCUUCUAGUAGAUUUCCUCUCCACUGAGGGAGAUGAAGAGGAGAAGAUUUCUGAGGAAGCAAAGUCACUAGAAUCCAGAUUUGGACCCCAGUAUCAUAACACUGCCCUACAGAGCUACAGUGAGGAACAGCCUUUGAAUGAAUCCAGAUUUGGACCCCAGUAUCAUAACGUUGCCCUACAGAACUACAGCGAGGAGCAGCCUUUGAAUGUGUCGGUGAACGCUGAUUUGAUCCAAGGGAACACAGCUGAAGAAAUCAAAAAAGAAGAUAUUAAAGACAGUGCAAUUAUUGCUGUGUCAUCUACAGCUCUCGCCAUCUACCUAAUAUUUAUGCUUUCUUUAUGUGUGGUUCUUAGAAGACGCAGAAUACAAAACGGCCAUAACAUCACACUUUGCCACCCCUACCCAACAACAGCAAUACAGCUGUUGGCGCUACUGACACGGGGAAGGAAAGUGCUCUGACCCAGAGGUCAGACGUCGACGCAGGUUCUGCAGAGAACUCCUCUUGAGAAAUUUUAAGAACUGGAGCAUGGAAAACUGGGGUUUCCAGGUCACAGGCCAAAUGCAACUGAUUUAGAAAAACUGCUUGGCUGCGGUCUUCUGAAGCCAGCUCAAAAUGCAGGAACCUUUCCGUUACUUUUCAUGAUCCUUCAUAUACAAGAAGUUAUGCAUUUUGAAAUUAUUUCCACCCCACAAUAUAGAAAUACAAAGUAGUUAUGCGGUUUCUUCAUUCUGAUAUCUAGUCAUUAAUAGAUUUAUUUUUUCCAGCCACUGGUACUAGCCAUCAGGCGGCUGUUAGCAGCCCAUUUCCAGUUAGUUUCUUCAUUCUUUUUAUUGUCAUUACUUCCACGUUUUCGGCAUUUUGAAGAUGUCCUCGACUACCUGAAAUUAAAGUGUUGCCUUGGGGAUCGCACUCAAGCUCACUCCAUAUCUCUGUGUUGACAGUGUGGAUGAAUGACUGAAUCAGCAGGAGAAGAGUGCAGAACAGCAUAUGAAAGUGAUGGUGCUUUCACAGAAUCAUAA